UAAUUAGCCCAGAAGACUGCAAUUCGCCGGCUAGCAAAGACACCCGCGGUGGGGAAACUUGACAAUUUAUUCCCGGGCCCGGGGGAGGUCACCCGCAGUGCACCAGCGGAUUGGCUGCGGCGCGGGUUGCGGCGGCAGAGCGCGCAGGCAGAGCGCGCGCCGCUUCUGAUCCGCUCUGCCAUCCCGGCCAGGCAGGGGCAGGGAGGGCCGCCCUGAAGCAGCCCGCGGCUCAGAACCGUGUGAAAGGGACGGUGUCGGUGCUGGAACCACGAAACUGCCCCACUUCUCCAGAUUGGGUGGUUUGGAAGAAAUGCUCUUUGCUGUUUGGGUUUUUAGACGUCACACUCUCUGUGUCUUCCAGUUGACAAUGGGCUCAAGCCAUUUACAGCCGGAAGAUGUUCUGAAUGAAGUAUCCACUCCAACUUCAUGUUACAGAGGAGGGAACUGAAGCAGAAAGGAUGAAGGAACUGUGAAGAGCAUUACGAGUGUAACCCAAGACUCCAGGAAACAUUUGAUUCAUCUGAUCAACCAUCUUUGAUCUCAAAGUUGGCCGAGAUGUUGUUGAAGAACCUAUUUGAACACCUAGGCCACAAAAAUAUGCCUUUUCCUUCCACUCAAGGAGACAGCACAGUGCGGCAGUUCAGUGUGAGGGUGUGGAGGGGACUGCCUUGUUCAAAUUCCAGUUCUGGCACCUGCUAGAUGGGUGGACUUUGAGCAAGUUUCAAUGUCUGAAUUUCUCUAUUUGCAAAACAAAUACAAUAAGAUGAUCAGAUUGAACCAUA